UACGUAGGGGGGCAAGCGUUGUCCGGAUUUAUUGGGCGUAAAGAGCGUGUAGGCGGCCCGGUAAGUCCGCUGUGAAAGUCGGGGGCUCAACCCUCGAAAGCCGGUGGAAACUGUCGGGCUAGAGUACGGAAGAGGCGAGUGGAAUUCCUGGUGUAGCGGUGGAAUGCGCAGAUAUCAGGAGGAACACCAAUGGCGAAGGCAGCUCACUGGGACGGUAUGACGCUGAGACGCGAAAGCGUGGGAGCAAACAGG
rnacentral:rRNA from 1 species